GAGUCUGAUCGUGGCUCAGAUUGAACGCUGGCGGCAGGCCUAACACAUGCAAGUCGAGCGGAUGAAGGGAGCUUGCUCCUGGAUUCAGCGGUGGACGGGUGAGUAAUGCCUAGGAAUCUGCCUGGUAGUGGGGGAUAACGUCCGGAAACGGGCGCUAAUACCGCAUACGUCCUGAGGGAGAAAGUGGGGAUCUUCGGACCUCACGCUAUCAGAUGAGCCUAGGUCGGAUUAGCUAGUUGGUGGGGUAAAGGCCUACCAAGGCGACGAUCCGUAACUGGUCUGAGAGGAUGAUCAGUCACACUGGAACUGAGACACGGUCCAGACUCCUACGGGAGGCAGCAGUGGGGAAUAUUGGACAAUGGGCGAAAGCCUGAUCCAGCCAUGCCGCGUGUGUGAAGAAGGUCUUCGGAUUGUAAAGCACUUUAAGUUGGGAGGAAGGGCAGUAAGUUAAUACCUUGCUGUUUUGACGUUACCAACAGAAUAAGCACCGGCUAACUUCGUGGCAGCAGCCG
rnacentral:rRNA from 1 species